rnacentral:misc_RNA from 1 species
GUUGAACACAAUAGGAUUGCCAUAUUCAGUCCAGCUAGUUCUUUUAUAUAUAGAUCAUAACAAAUUUCAGCUUGGAAGGAACUCUUUGCCUCUGGGGGGAUAAAGGGACAAACUUUUUGAAGUGAGAGAUUAAGUUAGCAUACAGCUAACAUUUUGCUAGAAAUGUUAGAAGUGAGGUUGUGUCAGAAUAGGCCAGUAAGUUUCUGAUCUUGAAAGUAAUCAAUGAAGGUCUGGAGGAGGAGACUGAUUGGAAAUUUCAUUUUAUGCGAACAACACUGAAUUUUGACUGCUGCUAGUGAAUUGAUUGAUUGCUUAUAACUGGAGAUGUAUAUCAACUAAUUUGCCUGGUGGGAGUGAACAUUGGUUCUUUUGGUCCAUUUGCAGAAGGAACUGAAUGUUAUAAAGAAAAUUACUUUGUUAUUGGAGACCACUUUGCAAUGGCAUCAACUGAAACUAUCAUGUGUUAACAUUGGAGGCAGCGUUUGUUCACCUUUAUUUUUUAACACUAGCUUAUUGAACCUUUAUUGUUGUUUCUGCUGUUAGGUUUUCUUUUUAAUAUUUUAAAUUUCAAUACUGAUUACUUCUUAAUGCAUAUAUGUACCUUUAGGCUUUUA